CCACCUGCCACCAACAACCGUUGUCGGGUCACCUCGCCCACUCCAAGUGCUCCUGUGCUGCACCCCAAGGUGGGAGUAUUCGUUCCCGCUGAGCCCCACUCAUGAAGUUACCCGUCCAACUCCUCCUAGGACAGUGGGCAGACUGAGGGCAAGGAGCGGCAGGGAAUGGCCCGGACCAGUCAGAAGGCCACAGAUGAUGAAAGCAGGCAGGCAGAGUUGCACUCCUCCUUGACACAGGAGUCCCCAGUCCCGGGAAAGCCUUCUACACCUCCCAGGCCACCAGUGGAAGCAGAGCCCGAGGCUGCUCUAUCCUAGGAGCUUGGGCUGGGCCCAACAUCAGCAGGAGCUGGGAAGUGAGGGAAGAUGCCUGCCGAGACUUCAGCGGGAGACCAGCAGUCAGCAGGUGGCCAGGAACCUGCCAUGGAGAGCCACUGACCUCUGCUCUGUGGGGAGAGAUCCCUGUACAAUUGCCCUCAGUUCCAUCCUCUGACCCCGCCUCCCUGUCAGAAUGUUUCAUCCCCUCCCCCUGUGUUCUUUCUCUCUGGUACAUAGUCACUGUGAUAGUAGCUUUCCAAGUCCUGUAUGCUCUUUACUAUCUAUUUUAAAUAAAAUUC